rnacentral:rRNA from 1 species
ACGUAGGGUGCAAGCGUUAAUCGGAAUUACUGGGCGUAAAGCGUGCGCAGGCGGAUAUGUAAGUUAGAAGUGAAAUCCCCGGGCUCAACCUGGGAACUGCUUUUAAGACUGCGUAUCUAGAGUUUGUCAGAGGGGGGUGGAAUUCCAAGUGUAGCAGUGAAAUGCGUAGAGAUUUGGAGGAACACCGAUGGCGAAGGCAGCCCCCUGGGAUAAAACUGACGCUCAUGCACGAAAGCGUGGGUAGCAAACAG